rnacentral:rRNA from 1 species
UGGGGAAUCUUGCGCAAUGGGCGAAAGCCUGACGCAGCAACGCCGUGUGAACGAAGAAGGCCUUCGGGUCGUAAAGUUCUGUCAGGGGGGACGAAAUCUGACGGUACCCCCAGAGGAAGCCCCGGCUAACUACGUGCCAGCAGCCGCGGUAAUACGUAGGGGGCGAGCGUUGUCCGGAAUUACUGGGCGUAAAGGGCGUGUAGGCGGUUUAUCAAGUCAGGUGUGAAAUUCCAGGGCUCAACCCUGGGCGUGCACUUGAAACUGGUAGGCUUGAGUGCAGGAGAGGAAAGUGGAAUUCCCAGUGUAGCGGUGAAAUGCGUAGAUAUUGGGAGGAACACCAGUGGCGAAGGCGACUUUCUGGCCUGUAACUGACGCUGAGGCGCGAAAGCUAGGGGAGCAAACAGG